UUGAAGAGUUUGAUCAUGGCUCAGAUUGAACGCUGGCGGCAGGCCUAACACAUGCAAGUCGAGCGGAAACGAGUUAUCUGAACCUUCGGGGAACGAUAACGGCGUCGAGCGGCGGACGGGUGAGUAAUGCCUAGGAAAUUGCCCUGAUGUGGGGGAUAACCAUUGGAAACGAUGGCUAAUACCGCAUGAUGCCUACGGGCCAAAGAGGGGGACCUUCGGGCCUCUCGCGUCAGGAUAUGCCUAGGUGGGAUUAGCUAGUUGGUGAGGUAAGGGCUCACCAAGGCGACGAUCCCUAGCUGGUCUGAGAGGAUGAUCAGCCACACUGGAACUGAGACACGGUCCAGACUCCUACGGGAGGCAGCAGUGGGGAAUAUUGCACAAUGGGCGCAAGCCUGAUGCAGCCAUGCCGCGUGUGUGAAGAAGGCCUUCGGGUUGUAAAGCACUUUCAGUCGUGAGGAAGGUAGUGUAGUUAAUAGCUGCAUUAUUUGACGUUAGCGACAGAAGAAGCACCGGCUAACUCCGUGCCAGCAGCCGCGGUAAUACGGAGGGUGCGAGCGUUAAUCGGAAUUACUGGGCGUAAAGCGCAUGCAGGUGGUUUGUUAAGUCAGAUGUGAAAGCCCGGGGCUCAACCUCGGAAUAGCAUUUGAAACUGGCAGACUAGAGUACUGUAGAGGGGGGUAGAAUUUCAGGUGUAGCGGUGAAAUGCGUAGAGAUCUGAAGGAAUACCGGUGGCGAAGGCGGCCCCCUGGACAGAUACUGACACUCAGAUGCGAAAGCGUGGGGAGCAAACAGGAUUAGAUACCCUGGUAGUCCACGCCGUAAACGAUGUCUACUUGGAGGUUGUGGCCUUGAGCCGUGGCUUUCGGAGCUAACGCGUUAAGUAGACCGCCUGGGGAGUACGGUCGCAAGAUUAAAACUCAAAUGAAUUGACGGGGGCCCGCACAAGCGGUGGAGCAUGUGGUUUAAUUCGAUGCAACGCGAAGAACCUUACCUACUCUUGACAUCCAGAGAACUUUCCAGAGAUGGAUUGGUGCCUUCGGGAACUCUGAGACAGGUGCUGCAUGGCUGUCGUCAGCUCGUGUUGUGAAAUGUUGGGUUAAGUCCCGCAACGAGCGCAACCCUUAUCCUUGUUUGCCAGCGAGUAAUGUCGGGAACUCCAGGGAGACUGCCGGUGAUAAACCGGAGGAAGGUGGGGACGACGUCAAGUCAUCAUGGCCCUUACGAGUAGGGCUACACACGUGCUACAAUGGCGCAUACAGAGGGCAGCCAACUUGCGAAAGUGAGCGAAUCCCAAAAAGUGCGUCGUAGUCCGGAUUGGAGUCUGCAACUCGACUCCAUGAAGUCGGAAUCGCUAGUAAUCGUGGAUCAGAAUGCCACGGUGAAUACGUUCCCGGGCCUUGUACACACCGCCCGUCA
rnacentral:rRNA from 1 species